CAACUGAAUAAAAAAAUCUCACAAUCAUUAAUUAGGCUCAAUAUUUGCAAUAAAAUGUGUUAACAUAUGAUAUACAUGCAUAUAUAUAUAAGAAUCUAUACUAUACUAAAAGUUGCAUAUCCUCAAUAGAGAGUGUGUCCACCUCAGCUAGAAAAAUCAUCCAAUUAGAUACUUUUUUUUUGCCAUGUCAUUCCAUCUUUACGCAAAAUAGAUUAAAUUUGAAAAUUAUGGGCUGCUAAAAAAACAAAACGGCCCAUAUUCAUCUGGCCUUACCCUAAUGUUCAUUAUUAUCGCAUUGACUCUUCCACUUCGUCUUCAUCGUCUCAACGCCGACUCGGUUACAACUCCAAUAAUAAACACCACCAAUUAAUUAAUUACAAAACGAAAUCCGUUCAAAUUUCUUUCAGGAUUCCACCAUCAUUACAUAAGCCGACUGCAAAUUCUUGAUAGCAUAUCCAAGAAAUAAUUCCGAAGCACUUUCCGAUAUGAAGGCUCUCCGUUGUAAACAAGUGAUGGUCACAUGUCUGCUAUGCUUUUGGGUGGCCAGGGACCUGAAGAAAAGCGGCGAGCUUAUAUGGUUUUAGCAGACGGAAAAGAUGGUACUCGGAGAAGCUCGUGAAAUGACAGUGGGGUAAAGAAGACCGUGUUUCUGAGUGGAACAAUUACAUAGACUCUCCUGGUAACUCACUACUCUACUUCUGUCCUUUAGCACUAUUCAUGUUUAAUCUGAUGUUCCUAAUCAAUUCACAAGUUCUCUCACUGAGUUUCGUUUUUCUCGGUUUUCAUGUAUUCAAACAGGAGGAGUUAUAUGGAAAACUUCUCACUCAUAUUUUGGAGGUUUCUGGUGAGCUGAAUCUAUCCAACUAAACAAUCUGACGCAAAAGAAUCCAGUUGAUACUUGACUCUUAAUGUUUCUCAAUAACAUUUUCUUUGAAACAUAUCAAUUGAGCAACUUUUCAUUUAUAGGAAAGCAUACGGAAAUCUAUACAUAAGAAGGCAAUCAAAUUACAAGGAUAAUGUUGUAUUCUUUAUUUGGGAACCUUCCUCAUCUUCCUCAAGCUAGGUAUGAUCCGUCAAAAUAUAAAAAAGCUGAUGCAGUAAAGUUAAAUAGGAAUAUAUUUUCUUUUAUUUCACUAAUUUAUGGUGAUUUUUUCGAAACUUAGAUUUGUGAGGUAAAUAGCAACGCCACCUGUAGUUGCUGCGGUUGGCACUUAUAGCUUCAAGUAUGAAGCAUCAGUUAAAAAGGAGCUAAAAAUAGAAACCAUUUUAGACGUUUGGCAUCAAUUUCUCCAGGAGUGAGAUCCUCUGUCUCAAGCAAAAUGAAGUAAAUAAAGAAGAGAGACAAUAGUACUCAAGCUCUUAACAACUCCUGCAGAAAAAUACCCGGAGAGCUAAAACAUCCAAAACUCAUCGUUCGAAUGUUCAUAGUGUUCUAUUGCUCAGAAAUAAACUUUACGUAUGUUGUCCUAUAUCAAAAUGGGGAGCCUCUGGAGACAAACAGAGGAGAGUCUCGGGGGAUCUGUAGUACGGGUCCAAGCCAUUCAAGUCCAAGAAAGUUCAAGAGGAAGAAGCUCAUGCGAUCAUCUUUUGCUUUUUUUUUCCAUUUCCUGAACCUCUCAGUUUAGAAAAACACACGCAAACACACUAAAUAACACUUGAAUAAUUGUAGAGUAUUUGUUAAUGGUUUGACGCAGUUGAAAUAUGAGUUAAGAGAUAUUUGAUCAAAUGGUGGCUAUGUAGAUGUCUAACUAAGAGAAUUUGGUGGGGAGAUGAAGGUUUGAAAAUUAAGGUUAUGUUAGUCUCAUGACGACUAUCUCUAUAGGUUCUAUUGGCUGUACCAUUUUGACAACUUAGGAGAAAGAAGUCUUGGUAUUAGACUUGCGUAAAGAGUUGAAAAUAUCUGAUGACGAACAUCGAUAGCUUCUGAGUAAGCUCAAAAAUGACGAUACUAUCCAACUGAUAAAGUCAGACUGUUAAUAUUCACUAAUACAAAUACAAAGCACUAAUUUGUGUAGUAUAUUUUUUUUUUUGCAGUCGUUUUGUAUUGCUGUUUAUUUUAAUAUAUGUAUAUAUUUGUUUAUUGACAAUUCUUCCAAAUAGACAAUAUAAAUUUUUCUCACAAAAAAAAAAAACUUUCAAAAAGGAAAAUCACCAAAAUAAAUUUUAUUAAAGAGCCAAAAGACUAUUUUAUUUCAUGCUUAUAUAUAUAAAUAAACUAGGUGUUUUGCCCGCACAUGCGGGUCUAAUUAUUUUACGCAUAUUUAUUAGUUUAUAUCUUAUUAGUUUAAAUGUUCUCGAAAGGCUUCAAUCAAACAUCAAAUUAUUUCUAUAUGACAAAUUUUUUUAUCAAAAUAUAUAUACUUAUUACUGAGUCAAAACUUUUAAAACAUUCACAUAUUAAAAGUAUUUUUAAAAAUUUCUUUAAAGAAUUUUUUUUGAUUAAUAUUUAAUUAUAAAAUAUUUUUAUCUUAGUACUUAAAUUUUUAUAAUAGAAAAAAUAUUUUUUUUAAAAAUAACAACAGUAAAUAUAAAAGAAUUAUCUUAUAGACAAAAAUAUAAUUUUUAAUAAAAAAUAAUUCCUCCAAUAUUUUCAAAAUAUUUAGGAGACCUCUUAUGUUUUAAAAUAUUCAUUUUUUUCUCUUUGCAAGUUUUUUUCUAUAUGUUUCCCAUACGACAUGUAAUCCAGUAUUCAUUUGGUAGCACAUAAAUAUGAGCUUUUGUGGUAACACAUAUUAGCAAAAUUUACAAUUAGUAUAAAACAUAUUUUUUUAAAAACUAAACCCUAAUAAACUUUUUAUUACCAAAAAUAUAGAUACAAUCCUUUCAUGACAUAUAAGAAAAGAAUAUUUUGAUAUAAUAUUAAUUAGAUAAUAUCAAAUAGUUGUGUAAAUGAUAAUUAUCAUAUUUUCUUAAAAAUGUUUAUUAUCUAAUAAAAUAUUAUUCAAUUAUUUAUUAAAUAAUUGAUUCACCUAAAAUCAAAUAGAAAUUUUAAUACAUUAAUAAAUAAGAUAAUAUCAAAUAUUUGCAUAGAUGAAAUAUGGUAAUUAUCAUGUUUCCAAAACUGUUUAUUAUUAAAAUAUAUAAAAUUAAGAAAACUGUUCACUUAGACAAAAAUUAUAGAAAAAAAUGACAAAUCAGCAAUGUGCGGACAUAAUCAUUUUGUAGAUGAUAUCAAAUAUUCAUGUAAUCAUGAGACUGAAAAAAUACAUGAUAAAUGGAUUAAAAUAUUUCAUAUGGUAUUUAUUUUGUUAUAAGAAAAUACAAAUAUCAAUAAUUAAACUAAUUAUUACAAAAUGUUAAAAUAACUUAAAUUUAUUAAAACAUACUUUAUUUUUUAUUAUAAAUAUUUUUACUUGCUAUUCAAUACGUUUUAAUAACAGAUUAACAUUUUAUAAAUUUUAAAACAAAUUAUAGAAUAAAUUUAUAUACAACAUGACUAUUUAGCAUUAAAAAAUUACUGCUAUUUAUUUAAAUUUUAAAAUGGUAUUAUCAUAUAAAUUAAUAAUAUGAAAGUCUUAAUUUUGUAAAUAACCAACUAAAAUCACUUUGUCAGUUAAUGAAACUUUUUUGUGUUUUAGUUUUUUUUUCUUUUAUUCUGCAACUUCUUUUUUUAUUAGUAAAAUAUUUGCAGAAUCGCGUUUAAGAUGUCAUUCCACCAUUUAGCAAGGUUACCAAUCAAAACCUGAGUAAACAGAAAAAGGCACUUCCUAGAAUUUGGUGGGAAUAUGUAGAUUUCUAUAAGUGAAUAUUUACAUAACUAGGUAAAUCUCCGUUGUUGGUGGAAGAAGUGUUUAUAUGAAUGUGAUCCUUGGUCGGGUUUUUUAAGCACGGAGUUAUCGUUAUCAAAAACCUCUGCUACCACCAGGGAUCUCCCAUUUCCACCGGUUAUAUUAGUCGACUAAAUAGGUAUAUCGGUUCUAUCCAUAACAACAAGAACAUUGUCUCAGAUUUUUAUUUUCUAUUGAUAUAUCUUAAAUAUUUUGUGUUAAAUGUAUGACUUUUCUUUACUGGAAUGAAUAGAACAUUGAAUAAUA